CUACGGGGGGCUCCAGUGGGGAAUAUUGGACAAUGGGCGCAAGCCUGAUCCAGCAAUGCCGCGUGUGUGAAGAAGGCCUGCGGGUUGUAAAGCACUUUAAGCAGGAAAGAAGGGGUGGGAGUUAAUACCUUUCAUCAUUGACGUUACCUGCAGAAUAAGCACCGGCUAACUCCGUGCCAGCAGCCGCGGUAAUACGGAGGGUGCGAGCGGUAAUCGGAAUUACUGGGCGUAAAGCGCGCGUAGGCGGUUUGGUAAGUCUGUCGUGAAAGCCCUGGGCUUAACCUGGGAACUGCGGUGGAUACUGUCAAGCUAGAGUGUGGUAGAGGGGAGUGGAAUUUCCGGUGUAGCAGUGAAAUGCGUAGAGAUCGGAAGGAACACCAGUGGCGAAGGCGGCUCCCUGGACCAACACUGACGCUGAGGCGCGAAAGCGUGGGGAGCAAACAGGAUUAGAUACCCCGGUAGUC
rnacentral:rRNA from 1 species